AGAGUUUGAUCCUGGCUCAGGACGAACGCUGGCGGCGUGCCUAACACAUGCAAGUCGAACGAGAAUCUUUGAACAGAUCUUUUCGGAGUGACGUUUAAAGAGGAAAGUGGCGGACGGGCGAGUAACGCGUGAGUAACCUGCCCAUAAGAGGGGGAUAAUCCAUGGAAACGUGGACUAAUACCGCAUAUUGUAGUUAAGUUGCAUGACUUGAUUAUGAAAGAUUUAUCGCUUAUGGAUGGACUCGCGUCAGAUUAGAUAGUUGGUGAGGUAACGGCUCACCAAGUCAACGAUCUGUAGCCGAACUGAGAGGUUGAUCGGCCGCAUUGGGACUGAGACACGGCCCAGACUCCUACGGGAGGCAGCAGUGGGGAAUAUUGCGCAAUGGGGGCAACCCUGACGCAGCAACGCCGCGUGCAGGAAGAAGGUCUUCGGAUUGUAAACUGUUGUCGCAAGGGAAGAAGACAGUGACGGUACCUUGUGAGAAAGUCACGGCUAACUACGUGCCAGCAGCCGCGGUAAUACGUAGGUGACAAGCGUUGUCCGGAUUUACUGGGUGUAAAGGGCGCGUAGGCGGACUGUCAAGUCAGUCGUGAAAUACCGGGGCUUAACCCCGGGGCUGCGAUUGAAACUGACAGCCUUGAGUAUCGGAGAGGAAAGCGGAAUUCCUAGUGUAGCGGUGAAAUGCGUAGAUAUUAGGAGGAACACCAGUGGCGAAGGCGGCUUUCUGGACGACAACUGACGCUGAGGCGCGAAAGUGUGGGGAGCAAACAGGAUUAGAUACCCUGGUAGUCCACACCGUAAACGAUGAUUACUAGGUGUUGGAGGAUUGACCCCUUCAGUGCCGCAGUUAACACAAUAAGUAAUCCACCUGGGGAGUACGACCGCAAGGUUGAAACUCAAAGGAAUUGACGGGGGCCCGCACAAGCAGUGGAGUAUGUGGUUUAAUUCGAAGCAACGCGAAGAACCUUACCUGGGCUUGACAUCCCUGGAAUCGAGUAGAGAUACUUGAGUGCCUUCGGGAAUCAGGUGACAGGUGGUGCAUGGUUGUCGUCAGCUCGUGUCGUGAGAUGUUGGGUUAAG
rnacentral:rRNA from 1 species